UACGUAGGGUGCAAGCGUUGUCCGGAAUUAUUGGGCGUAAAGAGCGUGUAGGCGGUUCGGUAAGUCUGCCGUGAAAACCCAGGGCUCAACCCUGGGCGUGCGGUGGAUACUGCCGGGCUAGAGGGUGGUAGAGGCGAGUGGAAUUCCCGGUGUAGCGGUGAAAUGCGCAGAUAUCGGGAGGAACACCAGUAGCGAAGGCGGCUCGCUGGGCCAUACCUGACGCUGAGACGCGAAAGCGUGGGGAGCAAACAGG
rnacentral:rRNA from 1 species